rnacentral:rRNA from 1 species
ACUUGGAUAACUGUGGUAAUUCUAGAGCUAAUACAUGCAAACAGAGCUCCGACCGGAGACGGAAGGAGUGCUUUUAUUAGAUCAAAACCAAUCGGUGGCGGGUUCGCUCGUUAUCGUACAACUUGGUGACUCUGAAUAACUUUACGCUGAUCGCACGGUCAUCGCACCGGCGACGCAUCUUUCAAAUGUCUGCCUUAUCAACUGUCGAUGGUAGGUUCUGCGCCUACCAUGGUUGUAACGGGUAACGGGGAAUCAGGGUUCGAUUCCGGAGAGGGAGCCUGAGAAACGGCUACCACAUCCAAGGAAGGCAGCAGGCGCGCAAAUUACCCACUCCCGGCACGGGGAGGUAGUGACGAAAAAUAACGAUACGGGACUCAUCCGAGGCCCCGUAAUCGGAAUGAGUACACUCUAAACCCUUUAACGAGGAUCAAUUGGAGGGCAAGUCUGGUGCCAGCAGCCGCGG